GACGUAGGGCGCGAGCGUUGUCCGGAUUUAUUGGGCGUAAAGAGCUCGUAGGCGGCUUGUCGCGUCGUCCGUGAAAACCUGGGGCUUAACCCCGGGCCUGCAGUGGGUACGGGCAGACUAGAGUGUGGUAGGGGAGACUGGAAUUCCUGGUGUAGCGGUGAAAUGCGCAGAUAUCAGGAGGAACACCGGUGGCGAAGGCGGGUCUCUGGGCCAUAACUGACGCUGAGGAGCGAAAGCGUGGGGAGCGAACAGG
rnacentral:rRNA from 1 species